UACGUAGGGGGCUAGCGUUGUCCGGAAUCAUUGGGCGUAAAGCGCGUGUAGGCGGUUCGGUAAGUCCGCUGUGAAAGUCGGGGGCUCAACCCUCGGAAGCCGGUGGAUACUGUCGAGCUAGAGUACGGAAGAGGCGAGUGGAAUUCCUGGUGGUAGCGGUGAAAUGCGCAGAUAUCAGGAGGAACACCAAUUGCGAAGGCAGCUCGCUGGGACGUUACUGACGCUGAGACGCGAAAGCGUGGGGAGCAAACAGG
rnacentral:rRNA from 1 species